CCUACGGGUGGCUGCAGUGAGGAAUAUUGGUCAAUGGGCGUAAGCCUGAACCAGCAAAGUCGCGUGAGUGAUGAAGGUUCUAGGGAUCGUAAACUUCUUUUAUAAGGGAAUAAAGUGCGGGACGUGUCCAGUUUUGUAUGUCCCUUAUGAAUAAGGAUCGGCUAACUCCGGGCCAGCAGCCGCGGUAAUACGGAGGAUCCGAGCGUUAUCCGGAUUUAUUGGGUUUAAAGGGUGCGUAGGUGGGCUUUUAAGUCAGCGGGGAAAGUCUGUGGCUCAACCAUAGAAGUGCCAUUGAAACUGGUAGGCUUGAGUAUGUUUGAGGCAGGUGGAAUGCGUGGUGUAGCGGUGGAAUGCUUAGAUAUCACGCAGAACCCCGAUUGCGAAGGCAGCCUGCCAAGCCGUGACUGACGCUGAUGCACGAAAGCGUGGGGAUCAAACAGGAUUAGAUACCCGUGUAGUA
rnacentral:rRNA from 1 species